GACGAACCGAGCGAACGUUGUUCGGAAUCACUGGGCUUAAAGGGCGCGUAGGCGGGCUGCGGCGUCCGGGGUGAAAUCCUCCCGCCCAACGGGAGAACGGCCUCGGAUACGGGCGGCCUGGAGGGGGUAGGGGCGGGCGGAACUGUGGGUGGAGCGGUGAAAUGCGUUGAGAUCCACAGGAACUCCGGUGGCGAAGGCGGCCCGCUGGACCCCACCUGACGCUGAGGCGCGAAAGCCAGGGGAGCGAACGGG
rnacentral:rRNA from 1 species